GGAAAGUAAAUUUGAAUUGAAAUAUUGAAUAGAAAUUGAAAUGGUUUGAAUUGAAUUAUUGAAUUGAACUGGAAUAUUGAAAUUGGUGAUUGAUAUGGAUUUUAUUAGAAUUGAAAUUGAGAAUGUGGAGAUUGAUAUGUGAAACUGAUACUGAACUGAAUUAUGGAAUACUUAAUAUUGUUAUGUGUACUGCAUUGAACUGUGAAAAUACUGAAGCAAUGAAUUACUGCAAUACUGUGAAACUGAUUGGAAUAAUGAAUUUAUAAUUGAUACUGAACUAAUAUGGAAAUUUUACUGGAAAGUAAAUUAAAUACCCUAUUAACUAGUCGGGCUAGUCGGAUAUAGUUGGCAUGCCAUAGGAUAUGGAAGAGUACGGGUUAUUGCCGGCUUACUGAUCA
rnacentral:lncRNA from 1 species